AAAGAACAGCAAGAACCACAUGGCGCGAACAAAGUAGCAGUGGAAAAAGUGUCAGGAAAGGAAGAUGGAGAGAUAUUAUAGGAAUGAGAUUACGUAGAAUUUCACAAACCAUGUUCCUGGGACUCUUAGUGUGAUGUUGAAUAGCAGUGCUUAGAGCAGACAUCUCUGCCUUGUUCCCCAUCUUAAGGUAAGAACCGUCAGUUUUUAUAAUUGAAUAUAAAAGCUAUUGGUAAUUUUUAUAUAAAUUUUAUCAAUGUGAGAAUGUUUCUAUUUGCAGUUUUUUGAGAGUUAUUACUUAUAGUGGCGGCUGGAUAUAAAGUGCUUUUCCUACAUCUACUGAAAUUACUGUUUUCUUGUCUUUUAUUUUAUCAAUAUGGUGAUUAGUAUUGACUGAUUUUUUUUGGAUAAUAAAUCAAGUGGUGAAAUCCUAGAUUCAAACCUGUUGGUUUCAUAAUUUUUUUUUCUGAAAAAUAUUUGUAUUUAUAUUCAUUGGAGUACUGUUCUGUAGUUUUCUUUUUUGGUGGUGUCUGUGUGUGGUCUUAGUGUUAAUGAGCUAAUGAUCUUCUCAAGUGAGUUGGUAUAUAUUCAUUUUUCUUCUGUAUUCUGAAAGUGUUUGUGUAGGAUUGCUACUAUUUCUCUUAAAAUGUUUGAUGAUAUUCACUAAUGAAGCCACCUGAGUCUCAAGUUUCUUUGAAAGAAGGGUUUUAAGUAUGAACUGAAUUUCUUAAUUUGUAUGGGGCAAGGCAUUAUUUUGUUUUUUCUUGUGUCAGUAUUGGUAAUUUGUGUUUUUUAAGGAGUUGACAACUUAUGUAAAUUGUCAAAUUUCUUGGCAGGAAAAUAUUUGUAAUAUCCCCUUAUUAUUCUUUUAAUGUUUGCAGUAUCUAUAAUUAUCUUCCCACUUUUAUUUCUGAUACUAGUAAUAAGUAUAUUAUCUUCUUUUGUCUUGAUCAAAUUUAUUAAUCUUUUCUGAGAACCUGCUUUUGGUUUCAUUUAUUUUCUAUAAUUUUUGUUUAUUUUCUGUUCAGUUGAUAUCUGCCCUUAUCGUUAUAGUUUCCUUCCAUUUAUUUUGGUUUAAUUUUGUUCUUCUUUGUGUAGUUUCUUUAGAUAAAUCCUUAGAUCAUUGGUUUGGGAUUUUUUUUUUUUGUUUGCUUCUAAUAUAAGUAUUUAAGGCUAUAACUAUGUUACCCUAAGUACUUCUUUAGAUGCAUCUCACAAGUUUCCAUAUCAUGUUUUUAUUACAUUUAAUUUAAAGUAUUUCCUAAUUUUCCUUUUUAUUUCUUUUUCCAUUCAGGAUUAUUUAGAAGUGUGUUUUUUUUAAUUUCCAAAAUUUGGGGGUUUUCGUACAUAUAUAUUUUACUGCUGUUGAUUUAUUCUUUAAUUCCAUUCUGGUCAGAAAGCAUAUGCUGUACUGUAUCAAUGAUUUAAAAUACAUUGAUAUUGGCUUUAUACUUUUAAUCAUGACACUGUGUGCACAUAAAAACAAUGUAUUCUACAAUUGUUGGCAAUAGUUCAAAAUGGUUGAUAGUGUUUUUCACAUUUUUCACAUCUUUGCUAAUUUUAUCUAGUUGCUCUACCAAUUUCUGGGAGAGUAGUGUUAGUAUCUGUUGGGGAGCCAGCUAUCCUGUGACCUGCCAUGGCUAUGGCCACUUGAAUGCCCAAUCUGCCAGGAGCAAAGAACAAUAUUGAGUGUUCAACAUGGCACAAUCCCUCUGGGUGAUCAUUAGCCAGCUGCUUGGUGGCAGGAUGAUUGCAGUGGAGUGCUUCCAUCAAAGAAGAGGCAGUUUUUAUUCUUAUUGGAGUAGAUAUAUUUUUGUUAGGGAAGUAGUCAUUUCAUGACCAGGCACACCACUCUGAACUGCCCAAACAGUGCCCUAGACCUGAAACAUUCCCCUCUAUGGAAGAUGAGUGAGGAAUUGUCACUUUGCCCCAGAUUCUUCCUUCCUAUUAGGAAAAACCUCUCCUCUGUCCUGGGUAUGAAGUGAAUUUCCUAACAUUGCUUAAGCAUGUGUGUCAUAGGGUACGUAGCCAGCUCCAAUCCAUUUAGGAAAGAAAGAGUCUUUGCCUGCAGUAUGAAAGGGGUCUGGGUGUGCCCUGUGUAGGGUACUGUGAGAGACCAACUGGCCAUGGAAGUCCAGCACACACUACAGACACCGAUGUUUCUGUGAUGCUUCUUUUUGUGGGUAAAGUGUUUUUUCCAACCAGUACCUUGGUCUGGAGUCUUCCUUGGUGAAUCCAAACCCAUAAAAGAUGCAGUGGGCUGAGGCCUGUGGACUUCUACUUCUGGGUGUUGACAUCGUUAUAAUCUUUGAUAUCCUUCAUGCGGUGAGAAUCCUAACUUGGGAUUGUCAGCUAGAUCUUCUUACUCUUGACAGCAUCUCCUACUAUAAUUGUAAUAUUGUCUCUUUUUAUUUCUCUAGUUCUAUCAGUCUUUGCUUUAUAUACUUCAUAGCAUUAUUAGUCAAAUGCAUAUAUAUAUGAAUUAAGUCUUAGGGAUCAAUCAUCCUCUUAAUCCUUAGGAAAUUUCCCAUUUUAGUUUGAUAAUACUCAUAGUUUUAGACGUAUUUUAUAUUAAGUAGUUGUUUCAGCCUUUUUAUGCAUACUGCAUGCCUGAUAUACAUUUUUAACCCAUUUACUUUCAUUCAAUCUAUGUUUUUAUAUAUGUCUUCUGUAUACAGCAUGUAGUUGAGUCUUGCUUUUUCAUGAAUUCUUAUAAUAUCUAUCUUUUUAUUAUAGUGUUUGGCUCAUUAAAGUUUAAUUAUUGAUAUUGGUUCAUGUUUACCAAUUUAACAUUUUUGUUUAAUUUAUCCUGUCUGCUUUUUAUCUCUUUUAUUUUUUCUAUCUUUUUAUAUUAUUUGAUUCAGUCUUAGUAUUUCAUUUAAAACUUUUCAUUGGCUUUCAUUCUACUAUUUUUUUGCUAUAUUAUUUGUUUCCUUUUUUUCUGUGAAUUCUCUAUAGAUUUAUCUUAACCGUAUUACCUUGGGUGAGGUAUGGCAAAGUCAGAUGCACAUAAAGAGAGUUAAACUAGAAGGUUUUGCAGUUUGUUAUAGUUCCCUGAGAAGAACAUAGCACACUACCCAGGACCAUUUAGGAAGCACAAGAAGCAGAGGGAAACCGUGGGAAAGCACCUUGAUUGUUUCCUUGGGAAGGCAAGAGUGAGUUAGGGCAAUUGGAUUUAGGUUGGCUAUUUUGAAUCAUUUCACUAGGCUCUGAGGCAUAGAGGUUGUCCCUGGUUGUCUAAUAUCUAGCCCUGGGGCAAUUAGUGCAGGUAUAUUGUGGUCUGAAAUGUGAAACUGAUAAAGGAGGUGGUUGGGAGUGUGAAGUUAAUUGGCUUCUCAAGAAGAAGAACUGAUCUGUCUCUAACCAGGGGCCCAAAACUGGGCCAAGAUAGCAUUUUAAAAACUAUAUUACAAGAUUAUAGCUAUAUCCUUAAUAUUUCACAAGCCACUUAGAGUUAAUGUUGCAUGACUUUGAAUAAAAUGUAGAAACCUUGCAACUAUAAAGGUCAAUUUAUCUCCUUCCCAUCUUUUAUGUUAUAGUUAUUACAUGUAUUACAUUACCACAGAUUAUAUACCUUAAGAGCUGUCCUAAACUUUGCUUUAAACUGUCAUACAUGUUUAGAAGGAAUUUAAAGGAAACAUUAUCUUUUUGUAUUUACCAUUUUCAGUGCUCUUUAUUCCUUUUUGAGGAUCCAAGUUUCCACUUGGUAUCAACGUCUUUCUGCCUGAAUAACUUCCUUUGCUACUUCCUAUAAUGUAGGCACUAAUGACAAUGCAUUCCUUAGUUUCCUUUUAUUUGAAAAUGUCUUUAUUUUCCCUUCAUUAUUAAAGUAUGUUUUCAUUGGACAAAGAAAAUAUGGUUGACAGGUUUAUUUUUUCAUUCAGUAAUUUAAAUAUGUUUCUUAAUUCUCUUCUAACCUCUGUACUUCCUGAUGAGUAAUUAAAUGAAUUUUAGAUGAAUCAUGGCUUUUAUGACAUAAUACACCAUUUUCCUGUUGCUACUUUCAAAAUUUUCUUUAUUUCAGUUUUCAACUGUUAAAUUUCAAAAUGCCCAGACAGGGACUACUUAGUGUUUAUUCUGAUUGGAGUUCCUUGAGCAUCCAGAUUCUGUAAAUGUAUGUGUUUCAUCAAAUUUGGAAUAUUAUAGCCAUUUUAAUUCAAAUUUAUUUUCUGACAUAUUUUCUCUUUCUUCUCCUUCUGGGACCCAAUUACAUAUACUUAAGUCAAAUUGAUAUUAACUACCAAGUCUCUGAGAAUCUGUUCAUUAAAAAAAAAAAAA
rnacentral:lncRNA from 1 species